rnacentral:rRNA from 1 species
CCUACGGGUGGCAGCAGUGGGGAAUAUUGCGCAAUGGGCGAAAGCCUGACGCAGCGACGCCGCGUGAGGGAUGAAGGUCUUCGGAUCGUAAACCUCUGUCAGCAGGGAAGAACGGUCACUGUGCUAAUCAGCAGUGAAUUGACGGUACCUGCAAAGGAAGCACCGGCUAACUCCGUGCCAGCAGCCGCGGUAAUACGGAGGGGGCGAGCGUUAAUCGGAAUUACUGGGCGUAAAGCGCUCGUAGGCGGUAUGUCAAGUCAAGGGUGAAAUCCCCGCGCGCAACGUGGGAACUGCCUUUGAAACUGGGAAACUGGAGUGUGUGAGAGGAUAGUGGAAUUCCAGGUGUAGGAGUGAAAUGCGUAGAUAUCUGGAGGAACAUCAGUGGCGAAGGCGACUAUCUGGCACAUAACUGACGCUGAGGAGCGAAAGCGUGGGUAGCAAACAGGAUUAGAUACCCGAGUAGUC